rnacentral:rRNA from 1 species
GACGAACGCUGGCGGCGUGCUUAACACAUGCAAGUCGAACGGAAAGGCCCUGCUUUUGUGGGGUGCUCGAGUGGCGAACGGGUGAGUAACACGUGAGUAACCUGCCCUUGACUUUGGGAUAACUUCAGGAAACUGGGGCUAAUACCGGAUAGGAGCUCCUGCUGCAUGGUGGGGGUUGGAAAGUUUCGGCGGUUGGGGAUGGACUCGCGGCUUAUCAGCUUGUUGGUGGGGUAGUGGCUUACCAAGGCUUUGACGGGUAGCCGGCCUGAGAGGGUGACCGGCCACAUUGGGACUGAGAUGCGGCCCAGACUGCUACGGGAGGCAGCAGUGGGGAAUAGUGCACGAUGGGCGGAAGCCUGAUGCAGCAACGCCGCGUGCGGGAUGACGGCCUUCGGGUUGUAAACCGCUUUCGCCUGUGACGAAGCGUGAGUGACGGUAAUGGGUAAAGAAGCACCGGCUAACUACGUG